GGGACGAACGCUGGCGGCGUGCUUAACACAUGCAAGUCGAGCGGAAAGGCCCUUCGGGGUACUCGAGCGGCGAACGGGUGAGUAACACGUGAGUAACCUGCCCCUAGCUCUGGGAUAGCUCCGGGAAACCGGGAUUAAUACCAGAUACGACCACUUUAGACAUCUGUCGUGGUGGAAAGGAUUCCGGCUAGGGAUGGGCUCGCGGCCUAUCAGCUUGUUGGUGGGGUAACGGCCUACCAAGGCGACGACGGGUAGCCGGCCUGAGAGGGCGACCGGCCACGACUGGGACUGAGACACGGCCCAGACUCCUACGGGAGGCAGCAGUGGGGAUAUUGCGCAAUGGGCGAAAGCCUGACGCAGCGACGCCGCGUGGGGGAUGAAGGCCUUCGGGUUGUAACCCUUUCAGCAGGGACGAAGCGAAAGUGACGGUACCUGCAGAAGAAGCGCCGGCUAACUACGUGCCAGCAGCCGC
rnacentral:rRNA from 1 species